AGCAUGCACUACUUAAAGCUAGUUCUGCAAUCACACCCUGUGAUUGAAGUCUAGACACAUCCUUUGUUGACUGCUGCCGUGGUUCCCUGAUGUACAUUAAUAUAAUCCUGUAUGAUACAGUACUACACUAACACACACUAGAGAACAUGUGUGCACUAACAAGGUCCAUAUGGACCACUUAGUGCACAUCAUACUAGUGGGCACUGGAAUUUUUACACCCCUUUGGUGGUAUCUAAAGCACUGUUCAGACAACAGACCAUUGUAGCUAACUCCCCUUCCAAAGGCCACUUACUUUGUGUAUUUAGGCUUCUAUGGGUAGUUACAGACAGGGAUGUUUUUCAAAUAUGUUAAAGCUAAUUCAUUUUGGUGUGUUCUCAGUCUCCCACACCAAGAAAUAUUUAACACCAAUGUAUGCACACUUAAUUCCUGGCAUAUUUUUUCAGAAGCGUAGAUGCUUUGAACACAAUUUACAACACUCUAUAACAUCAUUCCUAUUGAACAUCUAUGGCAACAAGUUCUCAGUGAAAUAACUGUACUAUUUUGUUCUUCCAGGGCAGUAUUUUUUGUAAACACACCUCCACUACAGACUGAGCUGAAAUUUGUCUCAUUCUCUGAAGAACGUUAUCGAAUGUUCCUGAACAUCAGCAGGAUAUAUAUGCUGCAUGGAGAAAUGGGGUGCAAGGACAGUGGUCUAGGCCUCUCUCCAUCUAGCAAGGAAAGAUCCCAGUUUGAUGCAUUGUUCCCUUACUCCAACCCUAGCAAAGGUAAGAUGGUCAUUUUCAAUACUUCCUUUUUAACCAAAUUACAAAGAAGAGUAUGCACACACCUGUGAUUUAAGAGCACUUUAUUGUUCUUUAAGGCUACUUUUUAAGUACAAAAAAAAAAAGAUGGCCUGCCAAACCUUUUUUUCUUUUCCCCAGGUGAAACAAGGCCACAAAAGAAUGGUAUAUUACAGAUUUACAAACACGGAGAGAAUCUUUCAGACUGAACUGUAGCAGAUAACAUGGCUCUGUGAAGAAACUUCACUAUGCGUUAUUAUGGUGAGUUUACUUUCCCCCCAACCCUUUGGCUUUCAUGACAUAAUUGUGUUGAAUAUAUUUGUUUUUACUGGACAUAUCACAUUAAAUCUUUAUUGCCCCACAUCCAUUUACCUAUCUCAGAUAAGUAAAUGUGACCUUGUAAAACAGCUAUUACUGAAAAUAUUAGCUUUAAAAACAUUUGUGUUUACAAAGAAAUGUAGAAGGAGUCACAUUUUCCACAGAGUCCAUCUACAGUAUUAGUAUUUUACUGUUAUAAUGCUCAGUAGCCUGUAGCAAUAACAAACUAGUGGCUAUUAAUGCUAAUGCAGUGUUCUCAUAGAAUAACUGUGUUCCUGCACUUUUUUAAUGUAUUACAGACAAAUCUA